rnacentral:rRNA from 1 species
UACGUAGGGGGCAAGCGUUGUCCGGAAUUAUUGGGCGUAAAGAGCUCGUAGGUGGCCUGUCGCGUCGGCUGUGAAAACUCGGGGCUCAACUCCGAGCUUGCAGUCGAUACGGGCAGGCUAGAGUUCGGCAGGGGAGACUGGAAUUCCUGGUGUAGCGGUGAAAUGCGCAGAUAUCAGGAGGAACACCGGUGGCGAAGGCGGGUCUCUGGGCCGAUACUGACGCUGAGGAGCAAAAGCGUGGGGAGCGAACAGG